rnacentral:rRNA from 1 species
UACGAAGGGGGCUAGCGUUGUUCGGAAUUACUGGGCGUAAAGCGCGCGCAGGCGGUUUUCCAAGUCAGUGGUGAAAGCCCCGAGCUCAACUCUGGAACUGCCAUUGAAACUGGUAAACUAGAGGACGAGAGAGGUGAGUGGAAUUCCCAGUGUAGAGGGGAAAUGCGUAGAGAGGGGGAAGAACACCGGUGGCGAAGGCGGCUCACUGGCUCGUUUCUGACGCUCAGGCGCGAUAGCGUGGGGAUCAAACAGG